rnacentral:rRNA from 1 species
UUAUUUGAAACGGGACACAACCCCUAAUACUGGGUUUAUCUAGAUACACUAAAUAAAGUGGGCCUAAAAGCAGCCACCUUCCAAAGAGCGUUAAAGCUUAAUGUACCAACAUCUAUAAUUCCACAAUUUUUACUUAACCCUUCAUUACUACUGAACUAUUUUAUACUCUAUAAAAGCUAUUAUGCUAGAACUAGUAACAAGAAAUUGCCUUUCUCCUCAAUGUAUGUUUGAACCAAAAUGGACACUCCACUGGUAACUAACGCAAAUGUAAAUAUCAUAGUACCACACGACUAGAAAAUCCUAUGUUUACCCAACGUCAACCUUACACUAGAACAUUACAGGAAAGAUUAAAAGAGAAAGAAGGAACUCGGCAAAUCACAGUCCCGCCUGUUUACCAAAAACAUCGCCUCUUGCCUAAACAUAAGAGGUCCAGCCUGCCCAGUGACAUAGUUUAACGGCCGCGGUACCCUAACCGUGCGAAGGUAGCAUAAUCACUUGUUCUUUAAAUAGGGACUUGUAUCAACGGCAUCACGAGGGCUGUACUGUCUCCUUUCUCCAAUCAGUGAAACUGAUUUCCCCGUGAAGAAGCGGGGAUAAACCU